rnacentral:tRNA from 1 species
GUGGUGGCUCAGUGGUAGAGCACUUGCCUAGCAUGUGUGAGGCACUGGGUUCCAUUCUCAGCACCACA